rnacentral:rRNA from 1 species
GAUGAACGCUGGCGGCGUGCCUAAUACAUGCAAGUCGAGCGAACAGACGAGGAGCUUGCUCCUCUGACGUUAGCGGCGGACGGGUGAGUAACAUGUGGAUAACCUACCUAUAAGACUGGGAUAACUUCGGGAAACCGGAGCUAAUAACGGAUAAUAUAUUGAACCGCAUGGUUCAAUAGUGAAAGACGGUUUUGCUGUCACUUAUAGAUGGAUCCGCGCCGCAUUAGCUAGUUGGUAAGGUAACGGCUUACCAAGGCAACGCUGCGUAGCCGACGUGUGAGCGGGAUCGGCCACACUGGAACUGAGACACGGCCCAGACUCCUACGAGAGGCAGCAGUAGGGAAUCUGCCGCAAUGGGCGAAAGCCUGACGGAGCAACGCCGCGUGAGUGAUGAGGGUCUUCGGAUCGUAAAACUCUGUUAUUAGGGAAGAACAAAUGUGUAAGUAACUAUGCACGUCUUGACGGUACCUAAUCAGGAAGCCACGGCUAACUACGUG